rnacentral:rRNA from 1 species
AUUGAACGCUGGCGGCAGGCCUAACACAUGCAAGUCGAGCGGUAGAGAGAAGCUUGCUCCUCUUGAGAGCGGCGGACGGGUGAGUAAUGCCUAGGAAUCUGCCUGGUAGUGGGGGAUAACGUUCGGAAACGGACGCUAAUACCGCAUACGUCCUACGGGAGAAAGCAGGGGACCUUCGGGCCUUGCGCUAUCAGAUGAGCCUAGGUCGGAUUAGCUAGUUGGUGGGGGAAUGGCUCACCAAGGCGACGAUCCGUAACUGGUCUGAGAGGAUGAUCAGUCACACUGGAACUGAGACACGGUCCAGACUCCUACGGGAGGCAGCAGUGGGGAAUAUUGGACAAUGGGCGAAAGCCUGAUCCAGCCAUGCCGCGUGUGUGAAGAAGGUCUUCGGAUUGUAAAGCACUUUAAGUUGGGAGGAAGGGCAGUAAAUUAAUACUUUGCUGUUUUGACGUUACCGACAGAAUAAGCACCGGCUAACUCUGUGCCAGCCGCCGCGGUAA